GCAGGCCUAACACAUGCAAGUCGAGCGGUAACAUUUCAAAAGCUUGCUUUUGAAGAUGACGAGCGGCGGACGGGUGAGUAAUGCCUAGGGAACUGCCCAGUCGAGGGGGAUAACAGUUGGAAACGACUGCUAAUACCGCAUACGCCCUACGGGGGAAAAGAGGGGAUCUUCGGACCUUCUGCGAUUGGAUGUACCUAGGUGGGAUUAGCUAGUAGGUGAGGUAAUGGCUCACCUAGGCGACGAUCCCUAGCUGUUCUGAGAGGAUGAUCAGCCACACUGGGACUGAGACACGGCCCAGACUCCUACGGGAGGCAGCAGUGGGGAAUAUUGCACAAUGGGCGCAAGCCUGAUGCAGCCAUGCCGCGUGUGUGAAGAAGGCCUUCGGGUUGUAAAGCACUUUCAGCGAGGAGGAAAGGUUAACGGUUAAUACCCGUUAGCUGUGACGUUACUCGCAGAAGAAGCACCGGCUAACUUCGUGCCAGCAGCCGCGGUAAUACGAGGGGUGCAAGCGUUAAUCGGAAUUACUGGGCGUAAAGCGUACGCAGGCGGUUGAUUAAGCGAGAUGUGAAAGCCCCGGGCUUAACCUGGGAACUGCAUUUCCAACUGGUCAACUAGAGUCUUGUAGAGGGGGUAGAAUUUCAGUGUAGCGGUGAAAUGCGUAGAGAUCUAAGGAAUACGGUGGCGA
rnacentral:rRNA from 1 species